AUGGGACAUAUUUUGAACCAAAAUAAUGUUGCAAGUUGGUGGUUUCUGUUACCAGUCAAUUCUAUCAUGUUCAGAUUAGUGUGGCACUAUGUCAUACCGUCUUGUCCUUCCUUUUUACUCUUUUGGCAGAAGCCUUUCCAUGUGUCCGUGUUAACUUUGCUUUGUCUGAAUUCUGCAACUACGAAGUUGUGUGAGGGAAAUUAUUUUCCCUUAGAAUGCAAGUAUGAUUUGUGUGAGCUUGUCAAGUUCACAUAUGGAGCUGGGAGACUAAAGGUUAGCAUGCUACAAAGGAUCUGUAGUGCUUUAGGUAAAAUGCAUGUACAGUGUGCUCCUUUGUGCCUGGAAAUGCCUCAUAUGCAACCGUGA
rnacentral:rRNA from 1 species